rnacentral:rRNA from 1 species
UACGUAGGGGCCGAGCGUUGUCCGGAAUUACUGGGCGUAAAGCGCGCGCAGGCGGCUGAUCAAGCCUGACGUGAAAGCCCCCGGCUCAACCGGGGAGGGUCGUCGGGGACUGAUUGGCUUGAGGGCGGUAGGGGCCGGUGGAAUUCCCGGUGUAGUGGUGAAAUGCGUAGAGAUCGGGAGGAACACCAGUGGCGAAGGCGGCCGGCUGGGCCGACCCUGACGCUGAGGCGCGAAGGCGUGGGGAGCGAAC